ensembl:lncRNA
AUGGAAAGCUUCAGGCUUGAGUGAACAGAUGUCUCUGGGAAGCAAAGGUGACAGACGUUUGUGCAGUUACUCAUCCCUAAAUAGGCCCGAGAGGACUGGAGUCUGAAUGAAAGAUGACCCGGGUGCACAACAGGAAGAGAUUGAUAGGAGGAUAAAAGCGGUGUAUAGGUUUUCAGGUACGCAAGUCUACGGGGAACCUCAUUCACACAUUAACAGGAUAUCCUGGGGGAAGUGAGAAACUACUGUGAAGGCACCCACCCUGAACACACAUGGGAAUCAUUACCAUCUGCAAUGAAGACAAACUGAUUAUCUUGUUAGACAGCCCUGCAGCCAUUCAGGGUAUGAUUAUGUAUUAAGAAACUACACGAAAAAAGACAGACACUCUUUUGGAAUAAUAAACACACCAGUGUCAACA